CAGCAGUGUCCUUAGUUGGUUCUGAAGGGCAUUUUGCACAGUGUUUAGCAAUGAUUUGGGCCAUAUUACUUCUCAUUCUCCAAGUCUGGUCCUCCAAGUUUUUAGGCAAUUUUGUAUUUAUUUUCUGCUAUAAUCAGCCCAAACCCAUUUCUUUUGCUCUGGAACUUAGAAGUGAUCUAGUCAACUUACAUGGUAAGCAAUCAUCUAUAGCAAAAAUUUAGAGUAAAAUUAGACCAAGAUUGAUUGAACAUUCAUGUUUCAAACUGCAGAAAAUCUUGGAGUUUUUUUAGACAAUAAUAUUAAUGUUACUACUGCUAAUAAAAGAUAGCUUUAUUGAGAAACUACUGUAUGUCAUGAUCUGUAUUAAGCCUUUAUAUGAAAAAAAAAAGCCUUUAUAUGCAUUAUUUCCUGUAAUUCAAGGAAGAUAUAGGAACUCAAAUCUGAUGAAAAUAAGCCAGAUGAAAAAACAUGGCCUAUAAUCUAGUGGAGGAGGAGGAGGAUGAUGACGAUGACAAUGAUGAAGAUUAUGAUGACAAUGAUGUUGGUAAUGAUGAUAAUGAUGGCAAUGACAAUGAUGAUGACAAUGACAAUAAUGAUGAUUAUGAUGAUGACAGUGAUGUUGACAAUGAUGAUGAUGACAACAUCUGGAAUGUGGAGAAUCACAGUUAGGGUCAACCGCCUAUAUAACAGAGCUUGUUUGAAGUGUCUCAAGUCCCAGGCUCUAAUGGACCCCAACUCUGAUAAAUCACCUUCAUGCUCAGAAGGAAAGAUAAGACUUAUGCAACUAUUGCUUAUAGUGAUAACCUCUACAUCUCCUGGAAUUAGCCUCAACUUAGUGAGGGAUGGGAAGGCAAAGCCCUUUCAAACUCAGACCUUUGAAGUCAAGGAGAAGAGUCGGGAUAAUCGCAAAAUACAUCAAUGAACAAUACACAGCCAGACAGUGGGACAACUGGGAAGGUGGGAGAUGUUCACUGUGGGUUUCAGUGUCCAGGAAGCAAUCCCCACAAGAGGAAGGAGACUGAAAGAGACAAAUGGGAAUCCUUUGAUCUGGGAGAAGAGGAAAGCAUGAGAGAGCAGUGCACACAAUUCCAGGAAGGGAACAUUCAGAGCCUCUUUGGGGGAACUUAGUGGACCAGCCCGACAGCAGUGCAGAAGGUAAGAUUAUAGGCUAAUUCAGUGAAGUUGUUCAGGAUCUCCAGGAAUAUCCAGGACUUUAAGCAUCUUUUAAAACCAGGAAUUAACACGCAAAGUGACACUUUAAGAACGUGCUCUUGUGGUUGAAAUGCUGGUAAAAAGCUGCAAAAGUAAGCUUUCUCUCUCUGCCAUUCUGUCUUUCACCGGACCCCGGAGGAACCUGUAUGUGAAUAGAAAGCCUACAUGUUACCC
rnacentral:lncRNA from 1 species